GUGCUCUCUUCGGCAGCACAUAUACUAAAAUUGGAAGAGAGAAGAUUAGCAUGGCCCCUGCGCAAGGAUGACACGAAAAUUCGCUCAGUGUUCCAUACUAAA